AUGGAUCUGCCUUGUCAUCCGUGGAUGGCCAUGGUUAUCCUCCCCCUCCUCCUGCUCCUCGUGCCUCUCACCGCUGCCCAAUUGUGGCCAUCCUGUGGCGAGAGCGGCGACUACAAAUCAAAUAGCACCUACGAAGCCAACCUCAAGCUCCUCUCAACUAACCUCCCGAAGAAAGCAGCGUCAAGCACCAACCUCUUUGCCACCGACACCGUUGGCAAUGUUCCGAAUGUCAUCUUCGCCCUCGCACUCUGCCGCGGGGACUCCAACGCCUCUGCCUGCGAGGGCUGUUUGGUUACUGCCUUCCAGGACGGGCAGGUGCACUGCGCGAACUAUAAGGACGCCGCUGUGUACUAUGAUAGCGAUCCUUGCAUGCUCAGGUUCUCCAACAAGAAUUUUCUCGCCACCACCGUCAAUGAACGUAUGCUCGUCAUUGUGAGCAUCGAGAGCUUGAUGGUGAACAUCUCGACAAGAGCCGACUCCUUCAGGCUCAUGUUGUUCACGCUUCUGAACAGCACGGCUCAAUCGGCCGCGAACAGCUCGAGGAGAUUCACUACCUCGCGCUUAGAUGUCAGCGUCAGCUCCUUGCCUACGCUCUACUGCCUUAUGCAGUGCACGCCAGACCUGACCGCCGAUGAGUGCACGGCAUGUUUGCAGCCUUACCUCCAGUAUACACUCAAAUACAUGGAUGGUAAGAAAGGUGGUCGAGUACUGGGGACACGGUGUAGCAUGAGGUACGAGAUAUUUCCAUUCUUCCAAGAGGACCCCAUGCUGCGUAUUAUCAACUUAGCACCUGAAGUUCCACCGAUCAACAGCACCAUGCCACUGAUUACCGUGAACCCACCCCCGCAGCCGCAGUCACAGUCGCCGGUUGCGGCGGCACUUCAUGGACGCAAUUCACGCCGGAGGGCGCUCUGGAUUAUCGCUGCGGCAGCUCCAUUACUGUCAAUAUUUCUGUGUGCUAUCCUUUUUGUUGUAUGGAUAAGAAGACGAAGAAAAGGAACGGAAAUCUUACACGAUCAAGCUGCCGCGAAUAGGCCGGAAGAAGAUGAAUUGGUUUGGAGAUUGGAAGAGAAGAGUUCAGAGUUCACUUUGUUUGACUUAUCUGAGAUAUUGCAUGCUACACACGACUUCUCCAAAGAAAACCUACUUGGGCAAGGUGGUUUCGGCCCUGUCUACAAGCAGUGGAUUGGAACUUUGAAGGAAAUAGAAGUAAUGCAGUGA
rnacentral:rRNA from 1 species